AUGGCUCAGGAUGAACGCUAGCGGCAGGCUAACACAUGCAAGUCGAGGGGCAGCGGGAUGUAGCAAUACAUUGCCGGCGACCGGCGGAUGGGUGCGUAACGCGUAUGCAACCUACCUUAUACAGGGGAAUAACCUUUCGAAAGGGAGACUAACACCCCAUGGUAUUGACUUAAGGCAUCUUAGAUUAAUUAAAUAUUUAUAGGUAUAAGAUGGGCAUGCGUAUGAUUAGCUAGUUGGUAAGGUAACGGCUUACCAAGGCGACGAUCAUUAGGGGUUCUGAGAGGAAGGUCCCCCACACUGGUACUGAGACACGGACCAGACUCCUACGGGAGGCAGCAGUGAGGAAUAUUGGUCAAUGGGCGCAAGCCUGAACCAGCCAUGCCGCGUGCCAGGAAGACGGCCUUAUGGGUUGUAAACUGCUUUUACAUAAGACUAACCGUAUAUUUGCGAAUAUACCUGAAUGUAUUAUGAGAAUAAGGAUCGGCUAACUCCGUGCCAGCCGCAGC
rnacentral:rRNA from 1 species